rnacentral:rRNA from 1 species
AAUGAACGCUGGCGGCGUGCCUACACAUGCAAGUCGCACGAGAAAGUCUGCCUUCGGGCGGGCGAGUAAAGUGGCGCACGGGUGAGUAACGCGUAGGUAAUCUACCCCCGGAACCGGGAUAACAGUGCGAAAGUGCUGCUAAUACCGGAUACGAUCUUUUGGCGGGAGCUGAAAGGUGAAAGUCGGCCUCUCGAAGAAGCCGGUGCUCGGGGAUGAGCCUGCGUCCUAUCAGCUAGUUGGCAGGGUAACGGCCUACCAAGGCGACGACGGGUAGGUGGUCUGAGAGGAUGAUCAGCCACACUGGCACGGAAACACGGGCCAGACUCCUACGGGAGGCAGCAGUGAGGAAUUUUGCGCAAUGGGAGCAAUCCUGACGCAGCAACGCCGCGUGGGUGAUGAAGGCCUUCGGGUCGUAAAGCCCUGUCAGGUGGGAAGAAUGUCCCGGGACUGAACAGGUUUCGGGAGUGACGGUACCACCAGAGGAAGCACCGGCUAACUCCGUGCCAGCCGCCGCCGUAACAC